rnacentral:rRNA from 1 species
UACAGAGGCCUCGAGCGUUAGGCGGAAUCCCUGGGCUUAAAGCGUGUGUAGGCGGACUUCUAAGUACCUUGUGAAAUCCCACGGCUCACCCGUGGAACUGCUGGGUAUACUGGUCGUCUUGAGCCUUCUAGGGGCUACCGGAACAAAUGGUGGAGCGGUGAAAUGCGUAGAUAUCAUUUGGAACGCCAAUGGUGAAAACAGGUAGCUGGGGAAGUGCUGACGCUGAGACACGAAAGCCAGGGGAGCGAACGGG